UUUUUUUUUUUUUGGUGACAGGUGGUUUAUUGUGAGAAUCUAUCUUUUGCACUGUCUUGCGGCAUCCAUGAGUCUGGUAUAACUUUAAAGUUUACCAGUGUCAAAAAUACUGAUUGGUAUCAACUUGUGGUGCCCUCCAAUUUGAGACUGAUAAUCAGCAAUAGCGGCCUAGAACUCUACCAGAUCAUUGUCUUAUUUUAAGAUAUCAGAAUGUUGCUUUUUUCCCAAAAUAAGAAGGGAAUGGGAAAUCCCAGGCUUUUAAAAUCCACAAAAAAUCAUUUGCAUUUUAUUAUUUUAUUCAGUUAUAUUUAUGUUUGUAUAUCCAGAAUGCAUUUUGAAAAAAAAUCAGAAUUUUCAACCUCUUGCAAUAAUUAUGUUCACUUGCUCUAGAAUCAGAAGAAAUAUGUAUCCGUGCUAAAUGAUUUCCAAUGCAAUGUUGCAUAUCAGAGGAAGCAUUAUCCUAAAUCUGAAUACAUUUUUGCCUGGUUUCUUUACCGUUUAUAUCUUGAGAGUUGGUGUGUCUGGUAAAAUCUUCGAAGGAUUGGAUUCCAGGGUUAAGAGCCUGAAAGUUCAGUUUCUAAAUUUCAUUUAGAAGUUAAACAUUUUCUGUACUUCAUAAUUUUUGAUAUGGUUGGUCAUUUGGGAUAAUUGAACACUCUGGAAGGUGUUUCGCAGUCAUUGUCUCACCAGGUGAAUGUACUAGGGCUGUAGAAUGUGCAGAAAUCAGUGGACUGCAUAGUACACUUGUAUUAUCCAGUUUUUUUUUUAAUAAUCUUGUGAGGGAGAUGUAUAUAUAUUUGUGUAGACAGGUGAGUUUAUUAGUUAUCCUUUUAGUUAUGAAUGCUUUUCUGCUUAAAUAGUAUGAUAUGAUUGCAAUAUCCAUAUUAUCUUCUACUUUUGACAUUGCAAUGCUUUUGAGUAGCAAUACUUGGAUGAAUCUAUGGGUUUUUACUUUAUGGUUCACCAUCUCCAGUGCAAAUGGACUUCUAAUUCUAGUGGUUAUUCUAUGCAGAAGUAGACAUUGAUUUUAAGUAACUUGUAUUUCAUUGUAUAUUUUUUACAUAUUUUUUGUUUUAAUGCUCCAACAAUGUUCGCGAUAAUGUCAAAAGCAAGUUACAUGAAAGUAGGGUGAUAGUAAAAAUCAACAUCAAACCCAAAAUUUAGAGUUUCUCCGUAUGGCAAAAAUCUAAAUCAGUUCAUAAAUCAACUGAUCAAUUUUAUUCAGCAAAAGCACUCUCCUCUAUAAUC
rnacentral:lncRNA from 1 species